rfam:Gossypium hirsutum cultivar TM-1 chromosome 24, whole genome shotgun sequence
CACGUCAGUGCGACUUGCUGACUUAGAAGGAAAUCGCGUCCUUGAGGGCACAAUUUUCUUCCACGCCAGCAGGUCGCGCUGACGUGG